rnacentral:tRNA from 1 species
GCUUUCGUGGUGUAGUGGUCAGCACGCUCGACGCGUAUUCGAGAGGUCCGUGGUUCGAGUCCCGGUGAGGGCA